rnacentral:sRNA from 1 species
CUGGACAUUGGCGUAGAGCAUGUGAGUGACUGUGAGCGCCUGGCCAAGCAAUGCCAGUUGUGGGACCUGCUCAGCGACCUGGAGGCCAAGUGCGAGAAGGUGUCUGAGUUUGUGGCGUCUAAGCCAGGCACAUGUGUGAAGGUGCUGACCAUCGAGCCCCCCGCUGCAGACCCCCGCCUCCGGGAGGACAUGGCGCUGCUGGCCGAUUGUGCCCUGCCCCCCGAGCUCCGAGGUGAUCUUUGGGAGCUGCCCUUCCCUUGUCCUGACGGCUUCAACAGCUGCCCUGAUAUCUGCUUCCGAGUGGCUGGCCGCAGCUUCCUCUGCCACAAGGUGCUUGUGCCCUCCUGUUGCCCCUGGCCCCAACCCGUUGCCCUGAGCCCCCGUCUAGCUCCUCAGGAGACAGACCCUGGCCCUCACACUUCCUGAGCCCGGCCUCCCCCAGGCCUUUUUCUGUGGCCGCAGUGACUACUUCCGGGCCCUGCUGGAUGACCACUUCCGAGAGAGCGAAGAGCCAGCGACCUCAGGGGGCCCCCCAGCCGUCACCCUGCAUGGCAUCUCAUCUGACGUCUUCACUCACGUGCUCUACUACGUGUACAGCGACCACACUGAGCUGUCCCCCGAGGCAGCCUACGACGUGCUGAGCGUCGCCGACAUGUACCUGCUGCCAGGCCUGAAGAGGCUGU